rnacentral:rRNA from 1 species
GCCCAGACUCCUACGGGAGGCAGCAGUGGGGAAUAUUGGGCAAUGGGCGCAAGCCUGACCCAGCGACGCCGCGUGAGGGAAGACGGUCUUCGGAUUGUAAACCUCUUUCAGCAGGGAAGACAAAAGGACGGUACCUGCAGAAGAAGCCACGGCUAACUACGUGCCAGCAGCCGCGGUAAUACGUAGGUGGCAAGCGUUAUCCGGAAUUACUGGGUGUAAAGGGAGCGUAGACGGCAGUGCAAGUCUGAAGUGAAAGGCAAGGGCUCAACCCUUGGACUGCUUUGGAAACUGUGCUGCUGGAGUGUCGGAGAGGCAAGUGGAAUUCCUAGUGUAGCGGUGAAAUGCGUAGAUAUUAGGAGGAACACCAGUGGCGAAGGCGGCUUGCUGGACGAUGACUGACGUUGAGGCUCGAAAGCGUGGGGAGCAAACAGGAUUAGAUACCCCGGUAA